GCACUCAGUGGCCACUUUAUUAGGUAGGCUACGCUUGCACAUUAACAGCUAAACGUGUCUACAGCUCAGUAUGUAAAGCAUACAGACCUGGUGACGAGGUUGUUUUUUUUUAAGUUGUUUUUUUUUUUUAAGAUUAUAAUGGGCAAAAUUUGUAAAAGUGACUGUUCAUGCCAUAUGUGGUGGUUCCAGCAUCUCAGAAACAGCUGCCUGGCUGGCAUUUUCUUUAAAGUUUACAGAGAAUGGUGUGAUUAAAAAAAAAAAAAUCCAGUGAGCGGCAUUUUUUUGGGAAAACACCUUGUGAAUAAGAGAGGUCUGAGGAUAAUGAGCAGGGUUGUUCAAGCUAGCAGAAAGGCUGCAAAUUGUCAAUUUUUUACUGCAAACAGCUUUUUACAGAAGCGGUUCUCCGAAGGGCAUCUGUGUAUGCACAAUGCAAUGAACUUUGAAGCGAAUGGGCUACAGCAGUGGAAGAGUUGUCAGCUAUCAGCUAAGAAUAGGAAAAUGUUGCUACAAUGGGCACAUGAUCACCAAAGCUGGUCAUUUAAAGAUGGAAAAGUGUUGCCUGGUCUGGCAAAUCUCAAUUUAUGUUGUGACAAUCAGAAAGUAGGGUCAUAACCACAGCCGUGGAAUAUAAUGUAAUAUAAUAUAAUGCUUGAUGCAAUAUUCAAAAUGCCCUACCUUAAGUGAGCAAGAAAUGGAAAAGGUGCCACAGCACCAUCUGCUGAAUCUGUUUGGUUAAGCUGGUCUUGUAACCUGAAGGUCACAAGUUCAAUUCCCGGGUAGAUGCAAAUUGUUAGAUGGCCACAAAAACAGAAUGACUUGCCUUCGUUGAUGAUACAACUGCUGAUGGCAGCAGCAGAGUUAAUUCUGAAGUGUGCAGAAGCAUGAAUGCCUUGAUUACAAAUAUAAAAUUGUGGCAUGCAGCGCCAAAUUAACUUUUCAGUCUUUUUCCCAAACAUUAUGGAGAACACUACAUAUUAUUUGUCUUAGUGGCACAUUUUAUGUGCUUAAAGUCGACAGUGUCAUGGUUCUGUGGUUUGUCUGCGUUUCCCUUUUUGGGCCGCCAGAUGGCGGCACUUCAGUUUUUAGUUCUGUUCUUUUACCCUGUUUAAUUAUAUUGUUUUCAAUUAUUCAAUUGUUGUUUGGUUGUCUCGUUUUCCCUUCCCUCUCUGUGGCCUGAUUGUGCAUUGUGCCCUGCUGUGUCUCGUCAGUGUCUUGUCUAUUUAAGUGCUUGUCUUCCCUGACUCGGGUGCUGGAUCUUUGUGUGUGCUUCUGAUUAUGUUUCUGCCCUGCGUGUUUCCUCCUGAGAGUAGCUCCCUGUGUGUUUCUGCCCACGUUCCGUUUUUACGUGCUUUUGGAUUCUUGGAUUUUCUUUGUUUUGAGUUGCCCUGCGAUGCCUUUUGUUCCCUGCUUUAGUUCCUGUUUUGCAAGUAAAGUCCUUGUUUCCAUUU